rnacentral:rRNA from 1 species
UCAGAACGAACGCUGGCGGCAGGCCUAACACAUGCAAGUCGAGCGAUCCCUUCGGGGAUAGCGGCGGACGGGUGAGUAACGCGUGGGAACGUACCCUCUUCUGCGGAAUAGCCACUGGAAACGGUGAGUAAUACCGCAUACGCCCUUCGGGGGAAAGAUUUAUCGGGGGAGGAUCGGCCCGCGUUGGAUUAGGUAGUUGGUGGGGUAAUGGCCUACCAAGCCUACGAUCCAUAGCUGGUUUUAGAGGAUGAUCAGCCACACUGGGACUGAGACACGGCCCAGACUCCUACGGGAGGCAGCAGUGGGGAAUCUUAGACAAUGGGCGCAAGCCUGAUCUAGCCAUGCCGCGUGAGUGACGAAGGCCUCAGGGUCGUAAAGCUCUUUCGCCUGUGAUGAUAAUGACAGUAGCAGGUAAAGAAACCCCGGCUAACUCCGUGCCAGCAGCCGCGGUAAUACGGAGGGGGUUAGCGUUGUUCGGAAUUACUGGGCGUAAAGCGCACGUAGGCGGAUCAGAAAGUUGGGGGUGAAAUCCCGGGGCUCAACCCCGGAACUGCCUCCAAAACUUCUGGUCUGGAGUUCGAGAGAGGUGAGUGGAAUUCCGAGUGUAGAGGUGAAAUUCGUAGAUAUUCGGAGGAACACCAGUUGGCGAAGGCGGCUCACUGGCUCGAUACUGACGCUGAGGUGCGAAAGUGUGGGGAGCAAACAGGAUUAGAUACCCUGGUAGUCCACACCGUAAACGAUGAAUGCCAGUCGUCGGCAAGCAUGCUUG